rnacentral:rRNA from 1 species
GGACUACUGGGGUAUCUAAUCCCGUUCGCUCCCCUGGCUUUCGCACCUGAGCGUCAGGUACUCCCCAGGACACUGCCUUCGCCUUUGGUGUUCCUCCGGAUAUCUACGCAUUUCACCACUCCACCCGGAAUUCCGUGUCCCUCUGAAGCCCUCAAGUCUCCCAGUUUCCCAGACACUUCCUCGGUUAAGCCGACGACUGUCACCUGGAACUUAAAAGACCGCCUGCGUGCGCUUUACGCCCAGUAACUCCGGACAACGCUCGCCUCCUACGUAUUACCGCGGCUGCUGGCAC